AUGUUCAGUUUUUCACGCUGUGUACGUGCGGUCCCGCCGCAGUGCUACACAUUUUCUAUACCAACAUAUUCCAUGUUUCAUCCUUGUCCCUUCAAAUUCAAUUUACCACAUCAGAUCUACAUCAGAUCUACAUUCAAUAAAGUUUAUCAAUUUAAUAUGUUUAUACUUGCUGUUUUUCAAACAGUAAAGUAAAUUGAAUUUGAGGGGCAAGGAAACAUGGCUACUGGAGGGCUCCCCUUGCCACGGAACGGUGAUUCCCAGAACGAGAUUGAAGAAACCAACACCUCUACCAAAGAUAAACGUGAUGUUAUCUUGAGUGAAAAAGGGCUCUUGGCAUUUGAAGAGGAAAGUUCCAAAUAUAAAAAACCUUUAUUCGAAACAUGGGGAAAGUCGAAAAAUGCAUUCUACGAGUGCAAAAAUGUGACAGAACUAUUGAACAAUAUUAAAUCUUACAGAGUGAUAUAGAGAACACAUUCAGUGAGUUUCACAAUAGUAUUAAACAGUACCUUGUCUUUCUACAAAGACACUCCAGAAGUGAACAAGGUAAAAGCGAGAUGAAAUGAUGUACCGAGGACUUUGAGAAAGGAAAGUCAGUGGUUUACAAAGCGCUAGACAACAUCAAAGCUGCAAAAUUAGACCUCUUAGAAACAGCCUCAGAAAUAUCAACAACCAGCACUGAGAGGAAAAGAAGAAAAGAGCGGAAGUUAGAAAUAAUGAAAAAAGAAGCAGAGCUAGGAAAACAGAAACUUCGCCUUGAGGAAGAUGAAUCAAUACGUAUAGCUGAAAUCAACAGAAAAAAGUGUGAGUUGGACAUUGACUUAGAUUUACUGAAACAAGAACAGAGUGCUAGUGAUGAUGAACUUUCAAUGGAGCAAGACCUUGCGGACAUUGAGAGAGAGAGAGAGAGAGAGAGAGAGAGAGAGUUCAGGGGAACGAACACAGAAGUUUGUGGAAAAUAUCGCUUCCAAUCCUGUUGAUGUCUAGAUACCCACAACUGAAUCGCAUUAUGUGCUAUCUUAAAUGGCCCUGCUUAUGAUUAAAAAGCAAAUGCUUCCUGAACGUUUUUCAAACUUUGAUGACUCGCCAGAGUCGAACAAUGUCUGGAAGGAAACAUUUACUAAUAUUGUCAGUGAACUAAAAGUUUUAUGUAAUGAAGAACUUGAGUUAAUGUUAAAUAGACUCACUGGCAAUUCCAAACUUACAGCAAUUGGAAUUCGCAAUGCAAAUCCUGGGAAACCUAAGGAAGCAUUUCAAAUAAUCUGGAAAAGACUUGAUGAGAUGUACGGGAGACCAGAAAUGAUCGAAGCGUCGAUACGUCACUAGCUAGAAAACUUCCGAUCAGUGACAUCAGCUGAAAACAAACGCCUGUAUGACUUGUUAAACAUUCUCAUUAAGAUAGAAUCACUGAUGGCCAAUUCAACAUUUUCUACAAGUCUAUCGUAUUUUAACUCGUCAAUUGGAGUGAAUCCUAUCAUCAACAAAUUACCAUUUCACCUGCAGGAAAACUGGAUCGCCAAAGCCUCCAAUUACAAUAAGUUAAACAAAGUGCCGUUCCCACCAUUUUCAUAUUUUGUGACAUUUGUACGCGAAAUGAGUGAAAUCAGAAAUGAUCCGGCAUUUGUAUUCACCAACAGCCGACAACCAGCUCUUAAGAGACCGGUAUACUCCAAAUAGUCUGAGGUGUCAACAGACAACAACAACAACGUCCAUUUUCUAUAUCAUACGGCAAAUCAUAGUAUCCAUGAUUGUAGAGCCUUCCGUGCAAAACCGUACUUUGAACGUAAGAACUUCUUGCAAAGUAAAAACAUUUGUACUAGAUGUUGCACCUCAACUAGUCAUACAGCAGAGGACUGCCAAGUCAAAAUCCAAUGUACGGCUUGUGGGAGUGUUUAUCAUACGACAGCUUUGCAUAUAAACAAAGGUCCAUCAUCAAGCCCAAGCAUGCAUGGCGGGGAGAAAAUGUAUAACUCAGCUCUACAAACCAUGAAGUCAGAAACAGACAACAUAUCGCCUGUACCUAUGAAAGCUUCAACAAACACUAGUGUCAAGUGUACUACAUUCUGUGGCGACCAUUAUCAAGGCAGAUCAUGCAGCAAAAUUUUCCCUGUGGAUGUAUUUCACACAGACUAUCCAAACAACAUGUAUCGUGUUUACGCAAUCGUGGAUGACCAAUGCAACCAGUCUCUUGCAUCUCCAGAGCUAUUUGAUGCCUUGAACAUUAUGUCCUCUCCCAUACAUUACACUUUGACAACAUGUAUGGGAAAGACAGCCCAAAAUGGUCGGCAAGCAGAUGGUAUGAAGUUACGAUCAUUGGACACAGCUGUGACAAUGGACCUUCCUCUUCUGAUGGAAUGUGAUGACAUCCCUAACGAAACUUCUGAAAUUCCUACACCAGAAGUUGUUAAGAGCUACCCUCACCUUCUCAGAAUUGCAUCUAGUAUACCUGAGCUUGAUGUGAAUUCAAAAAUACAGCUCCUUAUUGGUAGAGACUUGAUUGAGGCCCACCAUAUUGAAGAGCAGAUCACUGGACCUCGAGAGGAACCAUUCGCUCAAAGACUUAGUCUUGGUUGGGCUAUAAUUGGUGACGUUUGUCUCCACUGGAUGAAAUAUCUGGUUUCAGCGCUGCGGAAACCCUUUGGAAACUCUGCGGAAACUUAAGGUUACUUUAAGUUUCCGACAGGUUUCAGCACGGAAACCAAGUUUCAUUAAGUUUCCGCAGUGCUGAAACUUAGGCUGUCUAUGAAUCCAAAUGGUUUCCGCAACGGAAACUUACUGAAACUUGAAGUUUCUGCAUAGUUUCAAUCUCCAUAUACGUGUGGGAUACAUAUUGUUUACAAAUGGUUUCCGCUACGGAAACUUACUGAAACUUUAAGUUUCUGCAUAGUUUCAACCUCCAUAUACAAUUGGGAAACAUAUUGUUUACAAAGGGUUUCCGCAACUGAAACUUACUGAAACUUUUUAAAUUUUUGCUUUCACAAAAGCUGAGCAAGGUUUCUACUUUAUGUAAAAACAAAUCAAUUUCAAGCAGUUCC
rnacentral:sRNA from 1 species